rnacentral:rRNA from 1 species
AGAGUUUGAUCAUGGCUCAGAUUGAACGCUGGCGGCAGGCCUAACACAUGCAAGUCGAACGGUAGCACGGAGAGCUUGCUCUCGGGUGACGAGUGGCGGACGGGUGAGUAAUGUCUGGGAAACUGCCUGAUGGAGGGGGAUAACUACUGGAAACGGUAGCUAAUACCGCAUAACGUCGCAAGACCAAAGAGGGGGACCUUCGGGCCUCUUGCCAUCAGAUGUGCCCAGAUGGGAUUAGCUAGUAGGUGGGGUAACGGCUUACCUAGGCGACGAUCCCUAGCUGGUCUGAGAGGAUGACCAGCCACACUGGAACUGAGACACGGUCCAGACUCCUACGGGAGGCAGCAGUGGGGAAUAUUGCACAAUGGGCGCAAGCCUGAUGCAGCCAUGCCGCGUGUAUGAAGAAGGCCUUCGGGUUGUAAAGUACUUUCAGCGGGGAGGAAGGUGUUGUGGUUAAUAACCACAGCAAUUGACGUUACCCGCAGAAGAAGCACCGGCUAACUCCGUGCCAGCAGCCGCGGUAAUACGGAGGGUGCAAGCGUUAAUCGGAAUUACUGGGCGUAAAGCGCACGCAGGCGGUCUGUCAAGUCGGAUGUGAAAUCCCCGGGCUCAACCUGGGAACUGCAUUCGAAACUGGCAGGCUGGAGUCUUGUAGAGGGGGGUAGAAUUCCAGGUGUGGCGGUGAAAUGCGUAGAGAUCUGGAGGAAUACCGGUGGCGAAGGCGGCCCCCUGGACAAAGACUGACGCUCAGGUGCGAAAGCGUGGGGA